AUGCUUGCUUUGGCAGCACAUGUAUUAAAAUUGGAACGCUACAGAGACAAUUAGCAUGGCCUUGUGCAAAGAUGACAUGCAAAUUUGUGAAGCAUCACAUUAAAAA
ensembl:snRNA U6 U6 spliceosomal RNA